rnacentral:rRNA from 1 species
AUUGAACGCUGGCGGCAGGCCUAACACAUGCAAGUCGAGCGGUAGAGAGGUGCUUGCAUCUCUUGAGAGCGGCGGACGGGUGAGUAAUGCCUAGGAAUCUGCCUAGUGGUGGGGGAUAACGUUCGGAAACGGACGCUAAUACCGCAUACGUCCUACGGGAGAAAGCGGGGGAUCUUCGGACCUCGCGCCAUUAGAUGAGCCUAGGUCGGAUUAGCUAGUUGGUGAGGUAAUGGCUCACCAAGGCGACGAUCCGUAACUGGUCUGAGAGGAUGAUCAGUCACACUGGAACUGAGACACGGUCCAGACUCCUACGGGAGGCAGCAGUGGGGAAUAUUGGACAAUGGGCGAAGCCUGAUCCAGCCAUGCCGCGUGUGUGAAGAAGGUCUUCGGAUUGUAAAGCACUUUAA